AAUCAACGCUGGCGGCGUGCCUCACACAUGCAAGUCGAACGAUUAACGCUUCCUUCGGGAAGUGUAUAGAGUGGCCCACGGGUGACUAACACGUAAGUAAUCUGCCUUUGAGUGGGGAACAACCCGGGGAAACCCGAGCUAAUACCGCAUAUUGCAUCGGCCCCGCAAGGUGACAGCUGUUAAAGGAGCAAUCCGCUUAGGGAGGAGCUUGCGGCAGAUUAACUAGUUGGUAAGGUAAUGGCUUACCAAUGCUACGAUCUGUAUCCCGUCUAAUAGGACGGUCGGACACACUGACACUGAAUAACGGGUCAGACUCCUACGGGAGGCAGCAGUCGGGAAUUUUGGGCAAUGGGCGAAAGCCUGACCCAGCAACGCCGCGUGAAGGAUGAAGUAUUUCGGUAUGUAAACUUCGAAAGAAUAGGAAGAAUCAUUGACGGUACUAUUUAUAAGGUCCGGCUAACUACGUGCCAUCAUCCGCGGUAAUACGUAUGGACCAAACGUUGUUCGAAUUUACUGGGCGUAAAGAGCGCGUAGGCGGCAACUCAAGUCAUCUGUGAAAUCUCCCGGCUUAACUCUUAACGAUCAGAUGAUACUGCUCUGCUAGAAUGCAUAAAGUGCAAUCAGAAUUCUAGGUGU
rnacentral:rRNA from 1 species